GCCUAACACAUGCAAGUCGAGCGGAUGAGAAGAGCUUGCUCUUCGAUUCAGCGGCGGACGGGUGAGUAAUGCCUAGGAAUCUGCCUGGUAGUGGGGGACAACGUUUCGAAAGGAACGCUAAUACCGCAUACGUCCUACGGGAGAAAGCAGGGGACCUUCGGGCCUUGCGGCUAUCAGAUGAGCCUAGGUCGGAUUAGCUAGUUGGUGAGGUAAUGGCUCACCAAGGCGACGAUCCGUAACUGGUCUGAGAGGAUGAUCAGUCACACUGGAACUGAGACACGGUCCAGACUCCUACGGGAGGCAGCAGUGGGGAAUAUUGGACAAUGGGCGAAAGCCUGAUCCAGCCAUGCCGCGUGUGUGAAGAAGGUCUUCGGAUUGUAAAGCACUUUAAGUUGGGAGGAAGGGCAUUAACCUAAUACGUUAGUGUUUUGACGUUACCGACAGAAUAAGCACCGGCUAACUCUGUGCCAGCAGCCGCGGUAAUACAGAGGGUGCAAGCGUUAAUCGGAAUUACUGGGCGUAAAGCGCGCGUAGGUGGUUUGUUAAGUUGGAUGUGAAAGCCCCGGGCUCAACCUGGGAACUGCAUCCAAAACUGGCAAGCUAGAGUACGGUAGAGGGUGGUGGAAUUUCCUGUGUAGCGGUGAAAUGCGUAGAUAUAGGAAGGAACACCAGUGGCGAAGGCGACCACCUGGACUGAUACUGACACUGAGGUGCGAAAG
rnacentral:rRNA from 1 species